rnacentral:rRNA from 1 species
UACGUAGGGACCAAGCGUUGUUCGGAUUUACUGGGCGUAAAGGGCGCGUAGGCGGCGCGGUAAGUCACUUGUGAAAUCUCUGAGCUUAACUCAGAACGGCCAAGUGAUACUGCAGUGCUUGAGUGUGGAAGGGGCAAUCGGAAUUCUUGGUGUAGCGGCGAAAUGCGUAGAUAUCAAGAGGAACACCUGAGGUGAAGACGGGUUGCUGGGCCAACACUGACGCUGAUGCGCGAAAGCUAGGGGAGCAAACGGG